UCCUUUAGGUAGACAAAAGACAAGC
rnacentral:piRNA from 1 species